rnacentral:rRNA from 1 species
AGUAACACGUGAGCAACCUGCCCUAGGCUUUGGGAUAACCCUCGGAAACGGGGGCUAAUACCGAAUAUUCACUCACGGGCGCAUGUUUGUGGGUGGAAAGUUUUUCGGCUUGGGAUGGGCUCGCGGCCUAUCAGCUUGUUGGUGGGGUAAUGGCCUACCAAGGCGACGACGGGUAGCCGGCCUGAGAGGGCGACCGGCCACACUGGGACUGAGACACGGCCCAGACUCCUACGGGAGGCAGCAGUGGGGAAUAUUGCACAAUGGGCGGAAGCCUGAUGCAGCGACGCCGCGUGAGGGAUGACGGCCUUCGGGUUGUAAACCUCUUUCAGCAGGGACGAAGCGCAAGUGACGGUACCUGCAGAAGAAGCGCCGGCCAACUACGUGCCAGCAGCCGCGGUAAGACGUAGGGCGCGAGCGUUGUCCGGAUUUAUUGGGCGUAAAGAGCUCGUAGGCGGCUUGUCGCGUCGACUGUGAAAACCCGUGGCUCAACUGCGGGCCUGCAGUCGAUACGGGCAGGCUAGAGUUCGGUAGGGGAGACUGGAAUUCCUGGUGUAGCGGUGAAAUGCGCAGAUAUCACGAGGAACACCGGUGGCGAAGGCGGGUCUCUGGGCCGAUACUGACGCUGAGGAG